AGUAUUCUUUUCCCUGGGACCAUGCCAUCCACCUAAAGAUGAGAGAAAGAAGGGGCACUGGAACACUGGGUACCUGGGGCACAGCUCCUCACUUUUACCAUGAAGCAAGUAAUACCAGGUCUACCUCGAGGGGAUUUCGAAGUAAUUCUUUGAAGUCUUAGGAAAAACUAAUGCCUCACAAAAUCAAAGGUGAAGAAACUGAGGCAAACAGGAUUAAGUGA